rnacentral:rRNA from 1 species
UACGUAGGGACCAAGCGUUGUCCGGAAUCAUUGGGCGUAAAGCGCGCGUAGGCGGCCCGGUAAGUCCGUUGUAAAAGUCAAAGGCUCAACCUUUGAAAGCCGGUGGAUACUGCAGGGCUAGAGUCCGGAAGAGGCGAGUGGAAUUCCUGGUGUAGCGGUGGAAUGCGCAGAUAUCAGGAGGAACACCAAUAGCGAAGGCAGCUCGCUGGGACGGUACUGACGCUAAGGCGCGAAAGCGUGGGGAGCGAACAGG